rnacentral:lncRNA from 1 species
ACACUGGCCCCGCGGGGAGCCCAGAUAUCGACGUUCCUUUAGUCUCCUGACGGAGCAGACACACCACUGCUGCUCUUCAGACACCCAGAACCCUCAAGAUGACAAGAGAUGGUGCUACCCAGCUCAUGCCUGGGACUUGGAACACGGACUUCUUCAAGUCUUCUAGCUCUGACUCAAGAAUAUGCUGCAUUUUGGAACCACUACACACCCUAACUCAGGAAUCAGCUCUGGAAGGUUGACCUAAAGGAACGGACGACCCACACCACCGGAAGAGCAGCCCCCGCGGCGACACCCACCCCGGCCCGGCGACUCCAUCUCUGCGGCCCCCCCCUGCCUCAGCCCCGAGACCACCGACAGCCUCCCUCCCUCCUUUUCCUCCUUUUCUGACUCUAUUUUCUGAUCUUCUCUCUGCUAUCCUUUGCUCAGGAGACUCAGAGCCUCCAGAGCCCCGUUCUCCCCGUCCCCCUUGAAUCAAUUUGCACUAAAAGUCGUUUGCACUGGUUGGGGCUCUGGAGCCAGCCCUGGUCUCUGAGCGUGUGUAAGCGCGCGUGUGUGCACACUGCUGAAUGUGUAGGCCUCCUUGGCCCGUGCUCCCGCCCAGCACCCUUCCCACACUUGCGGGUGCCUGGGAGGGGGCCCGAGUGGGGGGGCCCGCGUGUGAGGGGCAGGACGGAAGGCCCAAGAGGGACCCUGGCUGUAGAGGAGCGGCUGGGGAACCCGGGGCGGCGGGCUGGG